rnacentral:rRNA from 1 species
AUUGCACGCUGGCGGCAGGCCUAACACAUGCAAGUCGAACGAGUGGCGGACGGGUGAGUAAUGUCUGAGAAACUGCCUGAUGGCGGGGGAUAACUACUGGAAACGGUAGCUAAUACCGCAUACCAUCGGAUGUGCCCAUAUGGGAUUAGCUAGUAGGUGGGGUAAAGGCUCACCUAGGCGACGAGCCCUAGCUGGUCUUAGAGGAUGACCAGCCACCAUGGAACGGAGACACGGGCCAGAGUCCGACGGGAGGCAGCAGUGGGGAAUAUUGAACAAUGGGCGCAAGCUGGAUGCAGCCAUGCCGCGUGUGUGAAGACGGCCUUCGGGUUGGAAAGCACUUUCAGCGAGGAGGCGUUACUCGCAGAAGAAGCACCGGCUAACUCCGUGCCAGCAGCCGCGGUAAUUC